rnacentral:lncRNA from 1 species
GGCAGCCCAAAAGGUCAGUCUCACUCCCACUAUGUCUCCCCUCAACAGCACCGAGUUUGUUUCCAGGCAGCUGGUGAGCAGAGCUGACACCUUUCCUCAGGCUAUAAGCCUCCCCACUGACAAUGCAAGGAGGGCUUUCAGGUUUAUGCCUCCCCACCUGCCGCGGUUUCCUCCCCAAGGACCCCUGCAAGAAAAAGUCAGGAAUGGAUUCCUGGAACAAAGAAUGUCCACAGGGCUCUUGAUGCUGCUGCCUCUACCCCUAUAUUUUAUAUAGUUCUGGAAGUACUCACUGCAGAGACAAAUGGAAAUGAGUCCACUCUAGGAAGAAGAAUAACUGGAAGCUUGAGCUGUGUAAAUGUGACUUGGAAAUGUGACUUCAGGAGAAAGAACCAGGUAGAAAACCCUGAUGGUGAAAGCAAGUUUUAACUGAAAUGAGAAGAAACUGAAAGUUACAUUACCAUGGCUUUUAUGAGUCAAAGAAGAGACAUUAUGGGUAUGUGAACUAAAAUAAUGACAUUUGGCAUGGGGAAAGUGAUAGAUACAGUAAUUUCAAUUUUCUGCAAGAUAGAGAACACACAGAGAAGUAGUGAUUGAUAUACAGUAUGAGAAUCCAUCCCCUAUGAUGUGUGCAAAGGAAAUUAAUAUGACUGGCUAGACCCUGGAAACGUUUAAUACUAUAAAUCACCGGUGUGAAAAAAAAGGUGGGUAUGAAAAUUGGAAUAAUUGGAUAAUAAAUACUAAACAAUGAAACUUUCCACUUCAGUGUACAGAAUGCCUGGCAGGCAAGGAUUUAUCCCGUUAGCCAAAUA